GACGAACGCUGGCGGCGUGCUUAACACAUGCAAGUCGAACGGAAAGGCCCUGCUUGCAGGGUACUCGAGUGGCGAACGGGUGAGUAACACGUGGGUGAUCUGCCCUGCACUUCGGGAUAAGCCUGGGAAACUGGGUCUAAUACCGGAUAGGAGCCAUUUUUAGUGUGAUGGUUGGAAAGUUUUUUCGGUGUAGGAUGAGCUCGCGGCCUAUCAGCUUGUUGGUGGGGUAAUGGCCUACCAAGGCGGCGACGGGUAGCCGGCCUGAGAGGGUGGACGGCCACAUUGGGACUGAGAUACGGCCCAGACUCCUACGGGAGGCAGCUGUGGGGAAUAUUGCACAAUGGGCGCAAGCCUGAUGCAGCGACGCCGCGUGGGGGAUGACGGCCUUCGGGUUGUAAACUCCUUUCGCUAGGGACGAAGCUUUUUGUGACGGUACCUAGAGAAGAAGCACCGGCUAACUACGUG
rnacentral:rRNA from 1 species